AAAGUACUAUAGCAGCACAUCAUGGUUUACAUACUAUAGUCAAGAUGCGAAUCAUUAUUUGCUGCUCUAGAAAUUUAA
rnacentral:pre_miRNA from 1 species